CAGCAGCCGCGGGAAUACAGAGGGUGCAAGCGUUAAUCGGAAUUACUGGGCGUAAAGCGCGCGUAGGUGGUUUGUUAAGUUGGAUGUGAAAGCCCCGGGCUCAACCUGGGAACUGCAUCCAAAACUGGCGAGCUAGAGUACGGUAGAGGGUGGUGGAAUUUCCUGUGUAGCGGUGAAAUGCGUAGAUAUAGGAAGGAACACCAGUGGCGAAGGCGACCACCUGGACUGAUACUGACACUGAGGUGCGAAAGCGUGGGGAGCAAACAGGAUUAGAUACCCGAGUAGUCCCUGUCUCUUAUAC
rnacentral:rRNA from 1 species